rnacentral:rRNA from 1 species
UACCAGCUCUCCGAGUGGUAGGGAUGAUUAUUGGGCUUAAAGCGUCCGUAGCCGGCUUAGCAAGUCUCCUGUUAAAUUCAGCGACCUAAUCGUUGAGCCGCGGGAGAUACUACUAGGCUAGGAGGCGGGAGAGGUCGACGGUACUUCUGGGGUAGGGGUGAAAUCCUAUAAUCCCGGGAGGACCACCAGUGACGAAGGCUGUCGACUAGAACGCGCUCGACGGUGAGGGACGAAAGCUGGGGGAGCGAACCGGAUUAGAUACCCGGGUAGUCCCAGCUGUAAACGAUGCGGGCUAGGUGUUGGGGUGGCUACGUGCCACUUCAGUGCCGCAGGGAAGCCAUUAAGCCCGCCGCCUGGGGAGUACGGCCGCAAGGCUGAAACUUAAAGGAAUUGGCGGGGGAGCACCACAAGGCGUGAAGCUUGCGGUUC